GCGUCGAUAGGCGCGUGGUGAACGCCCGGGCCUAUCGAUCCCAAGGUUCUUGGUUCGAAUCCAGGUUGCCGCG
rnacentral:tRNA from 1 species